GAUGAACGCUGGCGGCGUGCCUAAUACAUGCAAGUCGAACGCACAGCGAAAGGUGCUUGCACCUUUCAAGUGAGUGGCGAACGGGUGAGUAACACGUGGACAACCUGCCUCAAGGCUGGGGAUAACAUUUGGAAACAGAUGCUAAUACCGAAUAAAACUUAGUGUCGCAUGACACAAAGUUAAAAGGCGCUUCGGCGUCACCUAGAGAUGGAUCCGCGGUGCAUUAGUUAGUUGGUGGGGUAAAGGCCUACCAAGACAAUGAUGCAUAGCCGAGUUGAGAGACUGAUCGGCCACAUUGGGACUGAGACACGGCCCAAACUCCUACGGGAGGCUGCAGUAGGGAAUCUUCCACAAUGGGCGAAAGCCUGAUGGAGCAACGCCGCGUGUGUGAUGAAGGCUUUCGGGUCGUAAAGCACUGUUGUAUGGGAAGAACAGCUAGAAUAGGAAAUGAUUUUAGUUUGACGGUACCAUACCAGAAAGGGACGGCUAACUACGUGCC
rnacentral:rRNA from 1 species